rnacentral:rRNA from 1 species
AGUUUGAUUCUGGCUCAGAUUGAACGCUGGCGGGAUGCUUUACACAUGCAAGUCAGACAGCAGCACGGACUUCGUCCUGGUGGCGAGUGGCGAACAGGUGAUAAAUAAUAUCGGAACGAUGCCUAGUAGCGGGGGAUAACUACGCAGAAAGCGUAGCUAAUACCACAUACGCCCUUCAGGGAAAGCGGGGACCUUCGGGCCUCGCACUAUUAGAGCGGCCGAUAUCGGAUUAGCUAGUUGGUGGGGUAACGGCUCACCAAGGCGACGAUCCGUAGCUGGUUUGAGAGGACGACCAGCCGCACAGGACUGAGACGGCCCAGACUCCUACGGAGGCAGCAGUGGGGAAUUUUGGACAAUGGAAACCCUGAUCCAGCCAUCCGCGUGCAUUGAAGGCCUUCGGGUUGUAAACACUUUUGGCAGGAAAGAAGCAGCACAGGAUAGCAAUACCCCGUGCAACUGACAUUACCUGCAGAAUAUAAGCACCGGCUAACUACGUUAUAGCAACCGCGGUAAUACGUAGAGUGCAAGCGUUAAUCGGAAUUACUGGGCGUAAAGCGUGCGCAGGCAGUUCGGAAAGAAAGAUGUGAAAUCCCAGGCUUAACUUUGGAACUGCAUUUUUUUAACUACCGAGCUAGAGUGUGUCCAGAGGAGGUGGAGGUGCGUGUAGCAGUGAAAUGCGUAGAUAUGCGGAGGAACACCGAUGGCGAGCAGCCUCCUGGGAUAACACUGACGCUCGUACGCAAGCGUGGGAGCAAAACCAGGAUUAGAUACCCUGGUAGUCCACGCCCUAAAGCGAUGUCAACUAGCUGUUGUAUUUGGGGCCUUCGGGCCUUGGUAGCGCAACUAACGUGAGAUUGACCCGCCUGGGGAGAAUUUUUGAUCGCAAGAUUAAAACUCAAAGAAAUUGACGGGGACCCGCACAAGCGGUGGAUGAUGUGGAUUAAUUCAGAUGCAACGCGAAAACCUUACCUACCCUUGACAUAUGGAAUCCCGAAGAGAUUUGCAGGAGUGCUCGCAAGAGAACCGGAACACAGGUGCUGCAUGGCUGUCGUCCAGCUCGUGUCGUGAGAUGUUGGGUUAAGUCCACGCCAACGGGCACCCAGCCCGCUUGUCAUUGGUGCUACGAAAGGGCACUCUAAUGAGACUGCCGGUGACAAACCGGAGGAGGGUGGGGAUGACGUCAGAGUCCUCAUGGCCCACUUAUGGAGGUGAGGCUUCACGUCAUACAAUGGUCAGGACAGAAUUCGCCAACCACGCGAGGGGAGCCAAUCCCAGAAACCCGAUCGUAGUCCGGAUCGCAGUCAUGCAACUCGACUGCGUGGGAAGUCCGGAAUCGCUAGUAAUCGCGGAUCAGCAUGUCGCGGUGAAUACGUUCCAGGUCUUGUACGCACCGCCCGUCACACCAUAGGUGGGUUUUGCAAGUAGUUAGCACAACCGUAGGAGGGCGAUUACCACGGUAGGAUUCACUGACUGGGGUGAAGUCGUAACAAGGUAA